rnacentral:rRNA from 1 species
GAGUUUGAUCUUGGCUCAGGAUGAACGCUGGCGGCGUGCUUAACACAUGCAAGUCGAACGGAGAUUAUACGCAGAGGCGAUUUCGGUCAAAUCAUGUAAAAUCUUAGUGGCGGACGGGUGAGUAACGCGUGGGGUAACCUGCCUUACACUGGGGGAUAACACUUAGAAAUAGGUGCUAAUACCGCAUAAGCGCACGAAGCCGCAUGGGAUUUGUGUGAAAAACUCCGGUGGUGUAAGAUGGACCCGCGUCUGAUUAGCUUGUUGGCGGGGUAACGGCCCACCAAGGCGACGAUCAGUAGCCGGCC